CUCACCAUCCUCGUGCUCCUCCUCAUCUGUGGCAUGCCGCUCCUCGUGGAGUUGUCUCUCCUCUCUCCUCAUCUUUCCCUCACCCUCCUUUUUCACCCUCUUUUCAUCCUCUUCUCCUCCAUCUGUGGCUCUUUGUAUUUCCUCAAAACCGGAACGUUCCUCCUCUUGUUCUCCUCCAUCUGGGGUGCUUUGUCUCUCCGCUCCCCUCAGCCUCGCGCCGCCUCUCUCUUCCAACUUCUCUUCAUCGUCCUCCUCCUUCGUCUUCACCUCCUCUCCUCUGUUAGUCUCCUUCUCCUUCUCUUCACAACACAAGCGUCCUCCUUUGUCCGCUCCCUCUCCCUCAUUCUCAUAUUUCUCAUGCUCAUUCUCUCCAUCGUCCGGCUGCUGUAGCUUUCUCUCGCCGCUGACUUCCCUCACCUCAUCUCCUUUCUUCAUACACAAUAAACACUCAGACGCCUCAUCUCCCUCGCCUUCACUGCCAUAGUGUUCCCCUCCCUCCCUCCUCUUACCGUUUAUCCUUGGAAGUCUGUCGUUCUCUUGUCGACAAUCCCUGUAGUUCAGUCCUUCAUGGUUCCUCUCCUCUCCUAGGAAGUGCCACUGCGUGUGUACCAGUUCCAUCCCUCCUUCCGUGCCCUCUUUCUCUGUCUCUUCUGUUGUUGUUGUUGUUGUUGUUUUUGUUGUUGUUGUUGUUUUUUGUUCUCCCAGUGUUGCCCUAAACGAGUGGAAUAGAGAGACGCAGAGAGACAAGUAAACGGGUGAGGAGUGAAGUAGUGAGUGCUGUCUAUUCGGGAACAAGCCAAAAGCCUAUAGGACCUGAGGGCUGUGCGUGCGUAUGUGCCUGAGCAUGUGUGGCUGAGAGAGAGAGUUUGUGUGUGUAAGGAAGAGGGUGAGAGAGAGUUUUAGAGAGAGAGAAGAAAGAGAGAGAGAGGGGGGGUAGAGAGAGGGGUAGAGAGAGAGAAGAGAGAGAGGGACAGAGAGAGAGAGGAGAGAGAGAGAGAGAGGGACAGAGAGAGAGUUUUAGAGAGAGAGAUGAAAGAGAGAGAGAGGGGGUAGAGAGAGUAGAGAUAAAAAGAGAGUGACAGAGAGAGAGGGGUAGAGAGAGAGUGAGAGAGGGUUAGUGAGAGAGAACGAGGUAGAGACCGAAAUAUACAUAGAGAGAGCUGUGUGUGUGAGAGAAAAAGAGAGAGAGAGAGAGAGAGGGAUAGAGAGAGUGGUAGAGAGAGAGAGCGAGGGGUAGAGAAAGAGAGAUAGAAAUAGAGAGGUGUGUGUACAUACACCAGUAAAUGUGCUUUGCG
ensembl:lncRNA